rnacentral:rRNA from 1 species
AACGCGAAGAACCUUACCAAGUCUUGACAUCCCAAUGACCGGAACUUAACCGUUCCUUCCCUUCGGGGCAUCGGAGACAGGUGGUGCAUGGUUGUCGUCAGCUCGUGUCGUGAGAUGUUGGGUUAAGUCCCGCAACGAGCGCAACCCUUAUCCUUAGUAGCCAGCAAGUAGUGUUGGGCACUCUAGGGAGACUGCCAGGGAUAACCUGGAGGAAGGUGGGGAUGACGUCAAAUCAUCAUGCCCCUUAUGAUUUGGGCUACACACGUGCUACAAUGGCGUAAACAAAGAGAAGCAAGACCGCGAGGUGGAGCAAAUCUCAAAAAUAACGUCUCAGUUCGGAUUGCAGGCUGCAACUCGCCUGCAUGAAGCUGGAAUCGCUAGUAAUCGCGAAUCAGAAUGUCGCGGUGAAUACGUUCCCGGGUCUUGUACACACCG